UUUUUUUUAAGAAAUAGUGAUCUGAGUGAUCCACACAGAACAUAAGUGGGUCGCAGCAGUGCAUGGGAUGAGCUGUACAGAUGCUGUUAGUGCUCUGUUCACAUCCUCUGAUACUCACCUCUACACACUAAAAACCCCAGCAACUCUGAGAACUAGUGUUCUGACCAUGGGAGCACAUGUGGCUGAUGUGCAGAGCAAGUUCAGAGGCACCAGAGAGUUAAUGCCUCCAAAGUAGUUCUUAAUCAGCCAUGGAUAAGAGUUUAGAGAUUACUCCAGCUCCUUUAUGCCUCAUCUGGGGUCACUCCAAAGGGUAGUGCUAUAUUGUCUCCCAGAGUCACCUAGCUGGAUUAAGAUCCAAUUGUCCAGAGCAGCAACUGGCUUGAUGACAAUAUUGGCCUUCUUCCCUUCCCCAAUUCACUUCCCACUAAUAUUUCCUAGAAUCACCUGCAUAUAAACUACUUAAACACAUAUCUUUGUACUGGAGCUGGCUUUGGAGAAUCCAAAACCAAGAUUCAGGAAUUCAAAUCGUGGAACACGGAUGGAGAUGACCUAGAAGAAAUUCUGGUUGUCCCUUCUUCCAUUUCAAUCAAAUUGGGUUUGGGGGCUCAAGAGAUUUUAGCAGCCUCAUUCAGAGCUGGUCCCAACUCUUAGAAUUCCCUGAGCAUCUGAGUGGAAAGACUCAGCCACCUCCCUCUGUGUUAGAGAGAACCUGUGAUCUCAGGCAGCACCCAGAAUGUAGCAGAGCCCCAUUCAUACUCCUGGCUUGGGCACUUCAACUCUGAAAUUACAUAAAUAUCCCUGUCACUUCCCCCCUGGAAAUGAAUGAAUCAAAGCACACUUUUUAAAAAUUUCCUUGCUCACAAUAUUUUCUCAAAAUGGAAUGAGAGUAAUGGGAGAAAAAUUAGAGAGUUUGCCACUGUUGCAAAUAAAACCCUGCCACUUCUACCCACUGUUCCGGGUCCCCAUUCUUCUCUCCAAGAUUAGGUCUUAGCAGAAUAAAUUUGCCAGCUCCCUCUUAUUUUUAUUUUCAACCUAGAAUUUAAAAAAAAGAAAAGUUCAGAAAAUAGUUUUCACUUUCAUUUGAAAUUAUAAGCAGUGCCCUAUUUUCAGAAGUGAGACCAAGAAGUAUUGGGAAAACGUUCCUCAGUGAGACAGACCGUCAUCCCCCACCUGUCAUACCAUUUCCUGCUCUGAAGCGCAUGUGUCAGUGAGCACAGAGGGGAACCAAGAUAGAGCAAGAGGCUUCCUAGCCUGCAGGGGAGAGCUGUCAGCAUGACACUUGUUAGCUGGCUCUGGGCCGUCCUGGUCUCCACCUGUAUGGGAUCCAGCCUGGCCCAGACAGUCACUCAGCCUCAAUGGGAAGUGCCUGGGCAGGAAGCAGAGACAGUGACCCUGGACUGUACAUAUACUACUAGUGAGAGUGAUUAUUAUUUGUUCUGGUACAAACAGCUUCCCAACGGGGAGAUGAUUUUCAUUAUUCGCCAAGAGGCUUAUAAGCAACAGAAUGCAACAAACAAUCGCUACUCUGUGAACUUCCAGAAAGCAGCCAAAUCCUUUGGGCUCAGGAUCUCAGCCUCCCAGCUUGAGGAUGCUGGAGUGUAUUUCUGCGCUUAUAGUGCUCCACAGUGAGAUGAGCAACGAGGAGAGGCUUACAGAAACCUCAGACCUCAGCAUCUGUGCAGACAUCAGAGGAAGUGGUUGGGGUAAGAGGAACAUGGAAAAUCACUGACUUUUCCUGGGAAUAAAAGCUUCUUCUAUCUGAAUAUAAGAAAGAGAGAGAGAUGAAUGUCUGUGACUUGUAGUCCUUCAGUUAACAGUAGAAAUAAUGACAUGUGUUGUGCUUUCCAGUUUUAUAAGCUGUCUCCAUAGGCACUAUCACCCAUAAACUUCAUAGCUUCAUGCAAUAGUCUAUGUGACAGGUCAGACUUCCGAAGUAUUUCCUCUGUCCAGCAAAGCUUUAUAAUUUUCCUAGGAGCUUUUACUCCAAGAAUUUUUUUUUAUUAUUUUUUAUUAUUAAUUAAUUAAUUUAGUCUUUU